rnacentral:rRNA from 1 species
AACUUUCCUUCGGGAAAGAUAUAAAGUGGCGCACGGGUGAGUAACACGUAGGUAAUGUACCUUUGGGUGGGGAAUAACUUAGGGAAACUUAAGCUAAUACCGCAUAAUGCAGCGGCUCCUUCGGGAGACAGUUGUUAAAGAUUUAUCGCCUAAAGAGCAGCCUGCGGCAGAUUAGCUAGUUGGUAAGGUAACGGCUUACCAAGGCUACGAUCUGUAUCCGACCUGAGAGGGUGGUCGGACACACUGACACUGAAUAACGGGUCAGACUCCUACGGGAGGCAGCAGUCGGGAAUUUUGGGCAAUGGGCGAAAGCCUGACCCAGCAACGCCGCGUGAAGGAUGAAGUCUUUCGGGAUGUAAACUUCGUAAGAAUAGGAAGAAUAAGUGACGGUACUAUUUGUAAGGUCCGGCUAACUACGUGCCAGCAGCCGCGGUAAUACGUAGGGACCAAGCGUUGUUCGGAUUUACUGGGCGUAAAGGGCGCGUAGGCGGCAAUUCAAGUCAGUUGUGAAAUCUCCGAGCUUAACUCGGAACGGUCAACUGAUACUGCUUUGCUAGAGUACAGAAGGGGCAAUCGGAAUUCUUGGUGUAGCGGUGAAAUGCGUAGAUAUCAAGAGGAACACCUGAG